rnacentral:rRNA from 1 species
UACGUAGGGUGCAAGCGUUGUCCGGAAUUAUUGGGCGUAAAGGGCUCGUAGGCGGUCCAUCGCGUCGGGAGUGAAAAGCUGGGGCUUAACCCCAGUCCUGCUUCCGAUACGGGUGGACUAGAGGUAGGCAGGGGAGAACGGAAUUCAUGGUGUAGCAGUGAAAUGCGUAGAGAUCAUGAGGAAGACCAGUGGCGAAGGCGGGUCUCUGGACAGUUCCUGACACUGAGGCACGAAGGUCCAGGGGAGCAAACGGGG